GAUGAACGCUGGCGGCGUGCCUAAUACAUGCAAGUCGAACGCUGAAGGAGGAGCUUGCUCUUCUGGAUGAGUUGCGAACGGGUGAGUAACCCGUAGGUAACCUGCCUGGUAGCGGGGGAUAACUAUUGGAAACGAUAGCUAAUACCCCAUGACAACAGUUAUUGCAUGAUAACUUUUUAAAAGGGGCAACUGCUCCACUACCAGAUGGCCCUGCGUUGUAUUAGCUAGUUGGUGAGGUAACGGCUCACCAAGGCGACGAUACAUAGCCGACCUGAGAGGGGGAUCGGCCACACUGGGACUGAGACACGGCCCAGACUCCUACGGGAGGCAGCAGUAGGGAAUCUUCGGCAAUGGACGGAAGUCUGACCGAGCAACGCCGCGUGAGUGAAGAAGGUUUUCGGAUCGUAAAGCUCUGUUGUAAGAGAAGAACGAGUGUGAGAGUGGAAAGUUCACACUGUGACGGUAGCUUACCAGAAAGGGACGGCUAACUACGUG
rnacentral:rRNA from 1 species